AACUGUUGUAUUCAUUAUCAGUCAGUUUCAGAUAAUUAUCUGAAACUGACUGAUAAUGAAUACAAUCAGA
rnacentral:pre_miRNA from 1 species